GGCGGCGGCGGCGGCUACACAAGAGGCGGCAGCGCCAGCGCCGCCCCUCCUCGACACGUAACUGCACGCCUGGCCGGAGCCGCCCUGGAGGGGAAGAAAGGGCGCGCCGAGCGAGAGCGGCUGGUUUUCAUUAUCUCUCCGCCUUUGCUGCUGCUGGUGCUGCUGCGAGGCCCGACGGCAUCUGCCGACCUCUAGCUCGAAGUACUGUCCCGAAGUCCCCGCCUAAACAGGUCUCGUCUCGUCAUCACCCAAAAGCUCUGUUCACACGUUUCGGGGCGCUUCGACCGCGUACCUUUGCUAAAUGGAAAGCGCUUGCUCUACUCCGACGUUGAAUAUUAACAGUUCAUGAUGAGUACCACAAUCCACUUCACUCCUGAUCUUGUUUUGACAGACAGAAUACAGCUUCUCCAUCUCCUGCUUCCAAUUACAUAGUCUGUAAUGUGAUGUCCAGAUGAACAACCUUCUGUUCAGUUGCUUGAAGGAUGUGUUUGUAUAAUAAAGAGACUGUUGGCUUUGUAGAAUGCAACAAGUUGUUCUCCUGCAUUAUUUCUGCCCCCCAGGGCAAUUUUUUCAACAGCAUUUGGUUCUGCUUCAUUCCCUAAUUUUGUGUUCUAGUCAUCAAUAAUUUU